AAAUUACAGGAAAAAAAAUCCACUAAGUGUUUGUGUGUGUUAUAUAUUUAUCUAUUGUUGGUCUCAGCACAUCGAGGAGACUGACUCGACUCUGAUGGCGAGAUCGACAUAGCCGGAAAAAUUUGUAACAAAAGAGUUGGUUCGGACAGCGCGUGUUCUGUUUUUAUCUCAUCAACCGAAGUAAGAUCGUGAUUGGAAAUUUCUAUUGAAGGAAUAUCUAAACUUUCGUCGACCGGAGGGGAUUCUACUGGGCCGCGGAAUGACGGGUCUACUUCUAAGCUGAAACAGAUGUUAUCGUGAUCGUAUUCUGCCACGUGCGAUAUGGAAUUAACAUCGAAAUCGAUCGCGCUGCCUUCCGGGACAGGUUUACCGCCGAUUGACAAGUGGAUAUCGAACGCUUUCCAAAAAUCUGUUCCGAGGAUCAAGUCUUUCGACAAUUCCGGGAUGAUCGCGGUUGGAAUGACUUUCGUCUUAUUAUUGAACGUGAAGGGAAUGUACGCGAACCCGAUACAGAUUUAAUCGCUCGAGAAGAUCUACUGCGUUAGUCACCGUAAUAUUCGCUCCUGAAUCGAGAAGUCCUGUUAACCUUUCAUUGAGGAUUUCAACGGUUGCGUGCGGACAUCGUGAAGGGCUCGUAUUGACGUGGAAAACUCGAUUGAAAUAAUUGAAAUCAACUUGGGACGACGGCAGUACGUCCUGGGCCGUCCCGCCACCUAGUUUUUUGGACUACUUGGACGCCACGUAUGCUUAUUCGGACAAGUUUUCAACGUACAAUCCGGCUCACCGCACACGUAACAGAAGGUCGUACGUGGUUCUGGACAAUCCGUGUACCAGUGUCCAGUCUUCCUGCAGUUCCAACACGUGCUACGCUUGAUACCGUCCUGAUUAUCUUCUGGUGAGUUGUUCGAAUUCUCUCUUCUUAUGAAUUUCUUGUUCUUAAAUCUUUUAUCCCUGAAAAGUGCAUUCACUUCGUCAUCGUCUUCAAAUUCAUUUUCCUCAUCAUCCAAUUCAGAGCAGCUGAUCUGAUUUAUUGGAUGAGAAUUGUGGAUCGUCGAUUGGUUAAUCGCAGGGUGAAGAUUUGGUUCCAAACAGUCAAAGCUGUGACAACAAUCGGUUAGUUGUUCCAAAGUGUAAAUUGGGAUCAACAAUAAGCGUCUCUUAUAUGAGAUUUUUGUAUUUUGGUAAAUUAAUUUAAGUUUUUGCCUUUCAUCAAUUUUGUAUGAUAACUCCUGGAAUAACCUUUCCAUAUCUUGCAAGUAUGUCUUAAAUCGCUCGUUUCCACGAUGUUUGCGACUCUUAAUGGCGUCUUCGACCGCCUCGUCCUUGUUGGGAUGUUCAAAGUCCAACUUCAAAUAGUAAAUAAGGUGAUCCCAAGUUGAAAAUUUUUCCCAGUACGUGAAAUACCAACGUCUGGCUUCCCCUGUGAAAAACACAUGAGACUGUUGAAGCAAUUGUUCGUUAGAAACUUGGUUUGAAUAUGCCAGUAUUGAGACUUGUCUUACAAAAUCUCCAACUGAUAGCGAUCUUGGUCCUGGUUCACCACUGUAAUGUAUUUGCCACCUUUCUAGUUUUGUUUUCAACGGGUUGUUGUAGUUUUGUUCAUUGAAUCUGGGAUUAUUUGGGACAUUUUGGGUGUUUGGGAAAUUGGGGUUGUUAGGGAUGUUCACGUUGUUUGGGAUGUUAUUACUUAAUAACGGAAAACUACUCUGAGGGUUAUUUACACUGUUUGGGGCAUUCUGGGCGUUAGGGAUGUUUGGGUUGUUAGGGAUAUUAUUACUCAAGAAUGGAAAAUUACUCUGUGGGUUAUUAACACUGGUUGGGGCAUUCUGGGCGUUAGGGAUGUUCGGGUUGUUAGGGAUAUUAUUACUCAAGAAUGGAAAAUUACUCUGUGGGUUA